rnacentral:rRNA from 1 species
UGCGGAGGGAUCAUUACCGAGUUUACAACUCCCAAACCCCUGUGAACAUACCUUAAUGUUGCCUCGGCGGAUCAGCCCGCGCCCCGUAAAACGGGACGGCCCGCCAGAGGACCCAAACUCUAAUGUUUCUUAUUGUAACUUCUGAGUAAAACAAACAAAUAAAUCAAAACUUUCAACAACGGAUCUCUUGGUUCUGGCAUCGAUGAAGAACGCAGCAAAAUGCGAUAAGUAAUGUGAAUUGCAGAAUUCAGUGAAUCAUCGAAUCUUUGAACGCACAUUGCGCCCGCUGGUAUUCCGGCGGGCAUGCCUGUUCGAGCGUCAUUUCAACCCUCAAGCCCCCGGGUUUGGUGUUGGGGAUCGGCUCUGCCUUCUGGCGGUGCCGCCCCCGAAAUACAUUGGCGGUCUCGCUGCAGCCUCCAUUGCGUAGUAGCUAACACCUCGCAACUGGAACGCGGCGCGGCCAUGCCGUAAAACCCCAA